rnacentral:tRNA from 1 species
GCUGGCGUGAUGGAAUUGGCAGACAAUCGGAUCUUAAAAAUCCGUGGUGGUUACCGUGCGAGUUCGAUCCUCGCCGCCAGCACCA